AAAAGAAGACUUGCUUGGCUUAAUAAUGCAAAGCAAAAGUGUUCACAUGACUUAAUUAAACCAAGGAUCUGUUCUUACCAUUUUCAUGGAGGUAAACCAUGUGAUGAUGUAUACGAAGAAACUCAUCCAGACUGGGCUCCUACUAUAUUUAAAUUUAUGAGCCACAGUGCAACAAAUGUCUCUCGUUACAACAGAGUUAAAAAGAGACUUGCUGUAAAUG